CUAGUGUAAUGACCCGCGCUUCGCGGCGGGAGGUCGUAACAUUGAGAGCUAAUAAUAUGACUGUAAUUAUAUUUAUUUAUUACGAAACAUACAGAUAUAUAUAACAUUCACAUUAUGUAAGAUAACUAAAUAUAUACUAUAGAUUAUCUAAUAUGAUGUAAUGUCUUUGAUAAUGCAAAUAUAAUUGAUAAAACAGUUCUU
rnacentral:lncRNA from 1 species